GUGCUUAUGGUGUAGUGGUUAUCACGUCUGUCUAACACACAGAAGGUCCCUGGUUCGAGCCCAGGUAAGCACA